CUUGGUCAUUUAGAGGAAGUAAAAGUCAUAACAAGGUUUCCGUAGGUGAACCUGCGGAAGGAUCAUUAAUAGUGCCCAUUGAUGCAAAUCAUUGGGUUAGAUCUGCCCUUAUCGCAAGAUGAGGGCUUCCAUAUACACCGUGAACUGUGGCUUCGGCCAUCACAAACUGUUAGUAAUGAAUGUAAUAUCAUAACAAAAACAAAACUUUUAACAACGGAUCUCUUGGCUCUCGCAUCGAUGAAGAACGCAGCGAAAUGCGAUAAGUAAUGUGAAUUGCAGAAUUCAGUGAAUCAUCGAAUCUUUGAACGCACCUUGCGCCCUUUGGUAUUCCGAAGGGCAUGCCUGUUUGAGUGUCAUGAAACCUCACCCCACUUAGGUUUUUGCCUAAGCGGUGGUGUAUUGGGUGUUUGCCUUGCUAAAGGCUCGCCUUAAAGAUAUAAGCACCUUGGAUGUAAUACGUUUCAUCCUUCUGGGUGGCUGAUAACCCCACAUAUUCAUGAUCUGGCCUCAAAUCAGGUAGGGCUACCCGCUGAACUUAAGCAUAUCAAUAAGCGGAGGAAAAGAAACUAACUAGGAUUCCCUUAGUAACGGCGAGUGAACCGGGAUGAGCUCAAAUUUAAAAUCUGGCGUCUUUCAGGCGUCCGAGUUGUAAUCUAUAGAGGCGUUUUCCGCGCCGGACCGCGUCCAAGUCUCUUGGAAUAGAGUAUCAAAGAGGGUGACAAUCCCGUACUUGACGCGACAACCGGUGCUCUGUGAUACGUUCUCAAUGAGUCGAGUUGUUUGGGAAU
rnacentral:sRNA from 1 species